UACGAAGGGAUGCAAGCGGUAUCCGGAUUUAUUGGGUUUAAAGGGAGCGUAGGCGGUCUUAUAAGUCAGUGGUGAAAUCUCGUUGCUUAACAACGACCGUGCCAUUGAUACUGUAGGACUUGAGUACAGUUGCCGUUGGCGGAAUGUGUCAUGUAGCGGUGAAAUGCAUAGAUAUGACACAGAACACCGAUUGCGAAGGCAGCUGACGAAACUGUAACUGACGCUGAGGCUCGAAAGCGUGGGGAUCAAACAG
rnacentral:rRNA from 1 species